GGGGGUUAUAAAGUACUUGUUGGUCUGGGUUGCUGCUCUGUACUGCUGCACCUGACUCACAUGUACUGAUGAACCAGCUUCCUGGGCACGGUUGCUACUGGACACCUGGGUGAUAUCUUUGUCCUUGCACCAGAGUACUGCUUCUAAAUGUGUCCUUUGUGGAGCUGGAGUCCUGCCACAUAAAGAAAACUCACUCUCAAGUUUCAUGUUCAGCUUGAAUAUAGUGAGGUGAAGGGGGAGAGUUUAUCUUAAGAAAGCUGCCCGUGUUUUGGAGGGCUUCUUAAGAUUAAGCAAACUUGACUGUUAAAAUAUUUUAAUUAGCACUUAAUUAACCUCGCUGUAUUUGAGAGUUUGAGAAUGAUUUGUCUUCUCCUCUGGCCCUGAGAAAAUUUGUCUCUCUGUAGUGAUUAGUAACACAAGGUAAUGUCAAAUGUUCAUUUUUGUAUCAAAUAUGUGGCAGAAACCACUUGUGAAAAUGGCCGUGGGCAGAUGAUUUCUUUGUGCAAUUAAAAGUAGGAAUAUUUGUU